CCUACGGGGGGCAGCAGUGGGGGAUAUUGCACAAUGGGGGGAACCCUGAUGCAGCGACGCCGCGUGGGUGAAGGAGCGUUUCGGCGCGUAAAGCCCUAUCGGCAGGGAAGAAGGAGGACGGUACCUGACUAAGAAGCCCCGGCUAACUACGUGCCAGCAGCCGCGGUAAUACGUAGGGGGCAAGCGUUAUCCGGAUUUACUGGGUGUAAAGGGGGCGCAGACGGCAGCGCAAGCCAGGAGUGAAAGCCCGGGGCCCAACCCCGGGACUGCUCUUGGAACUGCGCGGCUGGAGUGCAGGAGGGGCAGGCGGAAUUCCUGGUGUAGCGGUGAAAUGCAUAGAUAUCACGCAGAACCCCGAUUGCGAAGGCAGCAUGCCGGCUUCCGACUGACGCUGAAGCACGAAAGCGUGGGGAUCGAACAGGAUUAGAUACCCCAGUAGUC
rnacentral:rRNA from 1 species